rnacentral:lncRNA from 1 species
GCAAAUUUGUUUACCCUAGGUCUUGUAUUUUUUCAUCAAAUUGAGCACUAAAAGAGAGCAUGGACUGUUAACUUUUCUUGAGUUGACCCUAUAAAAUUAGCCGUGGAAGAGAUGAUUGUUCUGUGAAACUAUGGUACACUAGUUAGAAGAGUAAAUGGUGGUUCAUGGUGGUGAAACUAGCUAGAAUGGUAGUGGUGGUGAGCGAUUGUUGGUGGUUGUUGAUGAAGACACGGGGAUAAAGGAGGUGUGGUUGUUAAUGAUCUUGGUAUUGUGGUUUUAAAAAAAUAUAAAUUAAAUAAGGGUUUAAAAAAAACAAAAAGCCCUCACAUGCAAAGCAUGUGAGGUAACUUAACCAAGAAAUUAAACAGAGUUUGUGUUAAAGGUUGUACCAUGUAUCAAAAUAUGAACAUAACGGUUGGGUUUGGCCGAUUUCAUAGUGAUAGGUAUGAAGUGCAGUUUAAGUAUAACAUAAAGGUUGAUUUGUCCAAUUUUUUCUUGUUUUAAACCCUUCGUCUCCCCUGGAAGAAAACCCAUGGAUCGUUGUAAAAACGAUUUCGGUGUGAAAACGAUUUGACUACUUGUAUUGAACCGAACCACUGUUUCCAGACAUACGAUUUUCUAGUUAAUCAAAGAUUAGACGCUGCUCUGGUUUAGAUCCGUCACCGCUGUUUCCAGACAAGGUAGAUGGAAACUAGGGUUUUGGGGCUUGAAUCCUCUUUUUAUAUUGUAACAAAUCUUUAGGGCAUGAAUUGCCUUUUUCAGAUCUUGUAUGUGGUUGUUUUUUAGGAGAAUCAUUUUUCAGAAGGGAGAGGUGGUGGUGGUAGAGAAGGUAGGGGAGAGAGGGGUGAGAGAGAGAGAGAGAAAGAAGGGUUUUUUUCUUUUAUAGAUAAAUCUAUAUUUUUAAUAUCAACAAAAAGACAAAAAUGGAUUUUAAAAAUCAAUUAUAAAAUGUUGAUCCCUGAUUAACGAUAUUUAACUAAAGUUGGCAAGUGAUUUCAACCAAUGUAGAAAAUAAUGUGCGCAAUUAGAAAUCGAACUUUGAAAAAACUGAGAUACAAAAGUUUUAAGUUUGUAUCACUUUGAAAAGGUUACAAAGGUGAUUGUAUGGUUAUUGGCUAUUACAAAAAAAUACUUAAAAAUUUGUAGUGAGGGCAAUGGAGUUUUGUAAGAUGUAUUAACUCACUCAGCUCAUUGGUGUUUUUAUUCUCUAUUUAUAGAGAAUAUUGGGCAUGAAUAAACAUUUGUUUAUUUAUGCAGUUGUAUUGUGAAAAGUAGCUUUUUGGCAUAUUCAUUAAAUCCUUUGAUCCACUAGUCACUUUGGAGUUCGUGCAGAACCUUAACGGUUUAGCAAGUUGCUUCACUAGAAUUCUGAUGAACUCCUUAUCAAAAAUCUGAUGUCUAUGAUCAUUAGAUUUCUAAUGAUCUGAUCAGAUCUGAUCUGAUUCUGAUGAUAAAUAUCAGAUUCUUUUGAUCCAAUCUUCUUCUUUUGUUGUAGAAGACUUUCUGAUCAUCUUUGAUGCCAAUUUUCUCUUCCUCUUGUCCAAUAGUCAUGCAUCUUCUUUCUGAUCAUCAGAUCCCUUCAUUAUUUUUCCUCAACACUAACAAAGAGUUUCCUAAAAUAAAUAAUUAAAUGAGUUAAUUGCCCGAAUGGUCCCUGUGGUUUGCGAUUUUUUCAUCUUUUAGUCCCCACAUUUUCAAAAUAGCAUGUUUGUUCCCUGUGGUUUGUUUACUUAUUACUCGGAUAGUCCCUUGAUGUAUUGUAAAAUACAUCUAUUUAUCUUGUAUAGUUUGUACAUUUUUCGUUAGAAUUAGUUUCGGUUUUAGUUAGAAUGUAUAUACUUUUGAUCCGUUCGUGUUUUGCAGGUCUUGGUUUAUGAAAGCAGCUGAAAAGGGUAGAAAACGAGCCAAAAUCUGAGAAAACCAAGUACCAGAACGUGAACGGAAGCUCGAAAGAUGAAACGGAAUGAAAAAUAAAGCUUUUAAGGCUUCUGAUGGGCCGCAAGGGUCUUGAUAGAGGGUAUCGCGGGUCACCAAAGACUUAAUUGACUCAUUGACUGAAUAUGUAGCGCCGUGGGACACGAUAACCAUAUCCAAAUGUGUCGCUGCCCGUCACAACGGCAGUCAAGCUUAGGAAUCGUUUGAUAGGAGCUGGAAGCUUAAAGAUCGAAGAUUUAAUGGGUUUUAUCUUCCCAGUUCAUCUUGUUUCUUAAUUUUCUCUUUUACUAUGAUGAAUUCUCUGUUUAGAACCUUUGUUUUACUAUUUUCAAUCAUGUUUCUUGGCUAAACACUUAAAGCUACUUAGGUUGUGAUGAACAAUUGUUAAAGUUCGGAUUUUUAUUGGAUGUUAAUGAAGUUUAUGGAUUUAUCUUGAAACGUAAAGAACUUUGGU